CCUACGGGUGGCAGCAGUGGGGAAUAUUGCACAAUGGGCGAAAGCCUGAUGCAGCAACGCCGCGUGAAGGAAGACGGUUCUCGGAUUGUAAACUUCUAUCAAUCGGGGAGAAAGAAAUGACAGUACCUAAAUAAGAAGCCCCGGCUAACUACGUGCCAGCAGCCGCGGCAAUACGUAGGGUGCAAGCGUUAUCCGGAAUUACUGGGUGUACAGGGAGAGUAGGCGGCAAGGUAAGCGAUAUGUGAAAGCCUUAGGCUUAACCAAAGGAUUGCAUAACGAACUAUCUAGCUAGAGUACAGGAGAGGAAUGCGGAAUGCCUGGUGUAGCGGUGAAAUGCGUAGAUAUUAGGAAGAACACCAGUUGCGAAGGCAGCUUUCUGGACUGAAACUGACGCUGAGGCUCGAAAGCGUGGGGAGCGAACAGGAUUAGAUACCCGUGUAGUC
rnacentral:rRNA from 1 species